rnacentral:rRNA from 1 species
UAUAUUAAGUUGUUGCGGUUAAAAGCUCGUAGUUGGAUUUCUGUUGAGGAAGUCCGGUCCGCACUUUGUGCGUGAUCUGGUUCUGCCUCGGCAUCCUCGCGGGGAACGCGCUGCGCUUGAUUGCGUGGUGCGGUAUUCGCGACUUUUACUUUGAGGAAAUUAGAGUGUUCACGGCAGGCAAUCGCCUUGAAUACGUUAGCAUGGAAUAAUAAUAUAGGACCUUGGUUCUAUUUUGUUGGUUUCUAGAACUAGGGUAAUGAUUAAUAGGGAUAAUUGGGGGCAUUUGUAUUAACACGUCAGAGGUGAAAUUCUUGGAUUGUGUUACGACAAACUACUGCGAAAGCAUUUGCCAAGGAUGUUUUCAUUGAUCAAGAACGAAAGUAAGGGGAUCGAAGACGAUUAGAUACCGUCGUAGUCUUUACCAUAAACUAUGCCAACUAGAGAUUGGAGGUCGUUCUUUUUAUGACUCCUUCAGCACCUUAUGAGAAAUCAAAGUCUUUGGGUUCCGGGGGGAGUAUGGUCGCAAGGCUGAAACUUAAAGGAAUUGACGGAAGGGCACCACCAGGAGUGGAGCCUGCGGCUUAAUUUGACUCAACACGGGAAAACUUACCAGGU